rnacentral:rRNA from 1 species
AACGAACGCUGGCGGCAGGCUUAACACAUGCAAGUCGAGCGCCCCGCAAGGGGAGCGGCAGACGGGUGAGUAACGCGUGGGAAUCUACCCAUCUCUACGGAAUAACGCGUGGAAACGUGUGCUAAUACCGUAUACGUCCUUCGGGAGAAAGAUUUAUCGGAGAUGGAUGAGCCCGCGUUGGAUUAGCUAGUUGGUGGGGUAAAGGCCUACCAAGGCGACGAUCCAUAGCUGGUCUGAGAGGAUGAUCAGCCACACUGGGACUGAGACGCGGUCCAGACUCCUACGGGAGGCAGCAGUGGGGAAUAUUGGACAAUGGGCGCAAGCCUGAUCCAGCCAUGCCGCGUGAGUGAUGAAGGCCCUAGGGUUGUAAAGCUCUUUCACCGGUGAAGAUAAUGACGGUAACCGGAGAAGAAGCCCCGGCUAACUUCGUGCCAGCCGCCGCCGUAACAC